rnacentral:rRNA from 1 species
UACGUAGGGCGCAAGCGUUAUCCGGAAUUAUUGGGCGUAAAGAGCUCGUAGGCGGUUUGUCGCGUCUGCCGUGAAAGUCCGGGGCUCAACUCCGGAUCUGCGGUGGGUACGGGCAGACUAGAGUGAUGUAGGGGAGACUGGAAUUCCUGGUGUAGCGGUGAAAUGCGCAGAUAUCAGGAGGAACACCGGUGGCGAAGGCGGGUCUCUAGGCCGACACUGACGCUGAGGAGCGAAAGCGUGGGGAGCGAACAGG